rnacentral:tRNA from 2 species
GGGCAGUUAGCUCAGCGGUAGAGCACUUCGUUCACACCGAAGGGGUCACAGGUUCAAAUCCUGUACCGCCCA